rnacentral:rRNA from 1 species
ACUAACGCUGGCAGUGUGCCUUACACAUGCAAGUCGGACGGGGGACUUCGGUCCCUAGUGGCAAACGGGUGAGUAAUGGAUAGGUGAUCUACCGAGAAGAUGGGGAUACCCCCUUGAAAGAGGGAACAUUACCCAGUAAGCUCCGCAAGGAGGAAAGGUGGUGCAAGCCACCGCUUUUCGACGAGCCUAUCUCCUAUCAGCUAGUUGGUGAGGUAACGGCUCACCAAGGCUAUGACAGGUAGCUGGUCUGAGAGGAAGAUCAGCCACACUGGAACUGAGACACGGUCCAGACUCCUACGGGAGGCAGCAGUGGGGAAUUUUGGGCAAUGAGCGAAAGCUUGACCCAGCGACACUGCGUGGGCGAUGAAGAUCUUUGGAUUGUAAAGCCCUUUUAUGGAAGAGUAAGGAGAUGAUUAGGAAAUGAGUCGUCUCUUGCAAGUAUUUCAUGAAGAAGCCCCAGCCAACUACGU